GACGAACGCUGGCGGCGUGCUUAACACAUGCAAGUCGAACGGAAAGGCCCUGCUUUUGUGGGGUGCUCGAGUGGCGAACGGGUGAGUAACACGUGAGUAACCUGCCCUUGACUUUGGGAUAACUUCAGGAAACUGGGGCUAAUACCGGAUAGGAGCUCCUGCUGCAUGGUGGGGGUUGGAAAGUUUCGGCGGUUGGGGAUGGACUCGCGGCUUAUCAGCUUGUUGGUGGGGUAGUGGCUUACCAAGGCUUUGACGGGUAGCCGGCCUGAGAGGGUGACCGGCCACUUGGGGCCUGAUAACCGCCCCGGACCCCGCGGGGGGGAAGAAGGGGGGAAUUUUGAAAAUGGGGGGGAGCCCGGAUGCAGCACCGCCGGGGGGGGGAGGGGGGCUUUGGGUUUGAAACCCCUUUCCCCCUGUGACGAAGGGGGGGGCAGGGAAAGGGAUAAAGAGACCCGGCCAAAGUACGGC
rnacentral:rRNA from 1 species